UGAGCGAGGGAAGCGGGCGGCGGGAGGAGGAGGAGGGAGGAGAGGCCCAGCUGAGGGAACAGCCCCAGGUCUAGCUCUAUCUGGGGAAGGAUGUGUGCCUGCUGGUGCGCCUGCGCGGCUUUGGUGGUGACAGUCGCAUUGAUGAAAAACAACAGGAAAAACUCAGCCGCUAUCAGGACCUCAAGAUUGAACUUCAAAGACUCUGGCAGAAACCAGUGCAGGUGGUCCCGGUGGUGAUGGGCACAUUGGGUGCCGUGCCAAAAGAUCUCAGCCAGCAUUUGGAAACAAUAGACAUUGACAAAAUUACGAUCUGCCAACUGCAAAAGGCCACCCUGCUGGGAUCUGCACGCAUCAUCCGAAAAUACAUCACACAGUCCUAGACACUUGGGAAGUGUUCGACUUGUGGUUUUGUGAAACGAAAUCCAGCAUGUCUAUCUUGUUUGCUGUGUCAUACAACAUCGUUGUGUCAAUAAUAAUAAUAAUAAUAAAGAGGGUUGGAAGAAACCCUUUGGGCCAUUGAGUCCAACCCUCUUCUGCCUUUUUGCACCAAAAGCACAAGCAAAGCACCCCUGACAGAUGGCCUCUCCGCCUCAAUAAUAAUAAUAAUAAUAAUAAAAGAGAAGAGGAGAACCCUUGGGUCAUUUAGCCCAACCCCCUUCUGCCUUUGUGCUGUGGGGGCCGGAUAAAUGGCUUCGAUGGGCCACAUGUGGCCCCCGGGCCUUAGUUUGGGGACCCCUGAUCUAGAUUAUAUAACAGUGUUGAAGGGGGCUCAGAUACAGCUUUAUUUGAAUUCUGGUUUAUCAUUCAGUUUAUAUCAUUUUUAUGGGAAUCUGCCUUGCAGCACCAAAAACAGACGCUUUCUUUCCUGGCUUUUUGAGAGCCUUGCUUCGAUAGCUGCCAGCUGGUCUGAGAUCCUGCCAUUUCUAAAAUCCCAGGACUUGUCUCUGGGUUCAAAGGCCGCCCUGCCGCCCUCCUUUGGAACCACACUCUUCUCAUGGCAGAUGUCACAACUCUGCUGGCAAUGUGCAGACUGUGCUGCUCACCGCCACCCACGGCUGAAACUUAAUUAUAACUUCUCCCACUGUUUGAAAAAGGUUGCAUAUUACACAUAAGUCUAGAAACUUUGGUCAGAAAAUGGAUAAUCUGGAUGUAGAAACUGGAUUAGAUGGUAAUGUAGAUCCAUCCGGCCCAAAUCAAUUUGAAUCCAACGCUCUUAAACACCCCCAAGCCUUGUAAUCUAUAAUCUAUCUAUACACAUAGUGAAAAUAUGUAUGUAAGUGUGUGGCUGGAGUGUCCACUUACACAGACAAGCUCCCACUUCAACAAACAGCUAUAGCUCCCACUACUCAGAGACACCAAUGGCCCUCCUUCCAAUGACAUUGCAGGUUAUAGUGAAUGCCGUAAACAAAUCCAAGAGCCCUGACAACGUCCUCCACAAACACCAUACUGCCCACCACCCAAGUGAAGACUUUCAUAUGGAGACAGUUUCAUCCUAGAGUUUCUGUUUUUCCUCCACCACAGACAUCCCAGUGUUUCUGAUUCUUUCCAUUGGUGUGUAAUUUGCAUGACCUCACCCACUGCCUCUCCCUUAACCCUUUCCUAUUCUUUUCUAUGGCACAGAGCAAACAGAGGAAUUGAUUCACAACUGAACAUACUAGAGGUUUGGGGAGAAUUCACCAUGAUUUAUACGAGUUGUAGGAACUGGGAUGUAUAGUUCACCUGCAAUCUAAGAGCAGUCUGAACUCCACCAACGAUGGACCUGGAACUAACUUGGCACACAGAACCCACAUGACCAACAAAAAAUGCUGGAGGUCUUUGGCGGGAUUCAAAGGAGUUGAAGUUCACCUACAUCCAAUGAUGGAUCUGGACCAAACUUGGCACACAGAACCCCCAUGACUAAUUCAACCUACUGGAGAGGUUUGAGGGGACUGGCUUACCAUAGUGGGAGUUGUAGUUUACCCUACAGCCGGAGAGCACACUCAACCCCACCCAUGAUACAUCUAGAGCAGAUUUGCCCAAGAUCACAAACUUUAAAUAUUGAUGGAGUUUUUCAGGGUUAACCUGGCAUCAUGUCAGUUGAAGUUCACCCACAACCUUAUGCAUUCUGUACAAUUAAAAAAUGACUUUUUCAAAUAACCAGGGCAAUGCCGGGUACUCAUAAUAAAAGUUUGUAUUUUA